UAUUUAUCUUUGAAAUUGAAAAAAAAGAAAGGAAAUUGUUCGGUUCAUUCUCAGAAUGCAAGAAAAAAAGGCAUCAGUGAUAAUAGAGUUAGGGAAAAAAUCCAAGUUAAAAUUAUCUAGAAAGGAAACUCUAUUUAAACUAUUUCCUCUUAUUGAUUUUCUACAAUCGCCUCCCCUCCUCUGUGCCGGAGAAUGAAAAAAAAAAAAGGAAAGAGAAAAAAAAA